rnacentral:piRNA from 1 species
UCGGGCGUUGCUGGCACAUGUCU